GGUGUUUCCAGGCAUGGUGGUGGCUGAUGUAGUCGAACUCCUCGGCCACGCCCUGACGGCACCACGUUCGGUUGUCAAACAGAGCGACCAGAGACUCGUGCUGCGUCAGCUGAUGGGUAAUAUUUUAGCUGGCUUUCAGCUUCAGUGUUUUCAGCUGUCAGCAUCUUUAGUGGCCAAAUCCCGCUUACAGUAUUAGCGCUAGCAUUAUGACAGCCAUGAACUGCCCGAAACCCGGAGGGAAAGUGAGAGUGGAGAUCAGCAGGGUGACGAGAGCGGGAUACAUCAGACGUCUGACGGGAAGUGACGGGCUGUGGAGUCAUUAACGGCGGAGCGUGUCAAGCGGCUUCUGUCCACUUGAUUCUUUCAUCUAAAAAUACUGACGCUCCUCAUCAUGUGCAUGAAAUUGACAUAAUUCCUCCAUCGGACUUCUCUCAGUGAAACAUUGACGUGUUGACACAAAACGUGACUUGUGUGAAGAUGUGGGAGGGGCUUAUUUACAGCGCUUCUUUAAGUGCAAAAUAUUGUCUGUUAAUUUCACAUUUGCUGAUGUGGGAUAUGAGUUUGUUUCCUAAAAUAAGUGGUCGAAUGUUUAAAUAUUUC